rnacentral:lncRNA from 1 species
GUGGUUCGCUGAGUCAACCAAUAGACUUGCACCCCUCCAUCUUUUCAAUGCUACUGGAUGUGUCCUUCUUUCAAAGAAGGGGAAGAUAUACAUGAUUGGCUUACGAAACAUGGACAACUGGAUGGUGAUUGGACAUGUUUGACAGACUUAUGUGGAGGAUAGUCAUACAUGGUGGCAUUGAUGGGUUGCAGCCGCCGUGUUUCUCCAUACUUCCAGCAACAAUCGCAGCAGUACUGUAUUGGAUUGCUUCAUGAAUGCUGUCUCCAGAUAUGGCGUUCCCUCCAGAGUUAGGACGGACCAUGGAGGAGAAAACAACACUGUCUGCUUGUUGAAUACUACUUCUACAAACGAGGCUACACUUGUGGCAGCACCUAUUCCUGUGGCACCCCAUCUUCUGCACUUCUUGUGGCCCCCCUCCACCUAUACCACUUUCUGUGGCCCCUCCACCAUUCCCCGAGGCUUAUCGUCCACCUUCACCACACUCUUCUGUUGGUGUUGGUGAUGACAAUGAGUAAGUCAUCCCUGUAAAUAAUUAAAUGUCUUGUUAUUACAGAUGAAUUGUGGGAAGUAUCUGAGCUUUGUUAUUCUGAAUGUCUCUUUUAGUGUUGACCUCCAAACACUGCUGAAGUUAAUGAGAUGCCAACCAAAUGAAUGUGAUGAUGGACAAUGUUUAUGAUUGUGCAAUGAGAGGCUUUAAGAGAGCCCGCUUUAAUCCGGAGGCAAAAAUAUACAUGGUUUUUAGGGAUGCUGACGGAAAAGGGGCAGCUGAUGAGGGUGGUCUCUCAAGAGAAUUUCUCUGGCUGCUAAUGAGUGCCAUCCAUUCCUCUGCAAUAUUUGAGGGACCUGAUUGACAAAAAUGUCUUUCUUGCAACUCUCAAGGUGAGUUACACUUUUAAAAGCAAAAAAAAGACACGUUUGUUUAUGGCAAUAUAUAUGACUUUAGUAAGACAUUUGAUUUUUGAAUGUAAUGUGUCCUUUAUUUACUGAUUGCCUUCUGUGUGACAGCAACAUGGGGGUGUAGAGCCACAUUUUUUCGGAGAGGCUAUACAGGCAAGUGUGUGACCUACAACCUCCUGUGCCAGA